AAAAAAGAGGGUCGGCCUCAUUCUCUUCCUCAAACCUUAUCUCUUCUUCCCCAUUCCUCACCCAGAUCCGAAGAUACUUCGAUUUCUAGUCGCCUAAACGUUGGAAUCCAUAUCAUUCUUUUCUUCCCAAGGUCAAAUUUCUCGAUCGAUUGGGUUCUUAAUUCUUUGGAUCGUAUUGUAGUCGGUAGGCUGUUGUUUUAGGAGAUGUAUUCCAAAAGAUGAGCAGACAGUGAGAUUGGAUUCUGUUGAUGGUCGUCUCCUCCUCAAAGAAGCUGAACGAGUUGAUGGCGAGGGAUGUUGGUUUCAGGACCCUGGCGUUCUUGAUCUGGAUAAGGUAAAGGCUGUAAUUCAUCCCUCUCAGCUUUUGAUGUGGCCUCCGAGUCCCCGACGCAUGCGUAAGCCAUUCUCAAAAUUGAAAGGUGAGAGCCUAAUUCCCCUAACACCAAAACCCCAAUUCGAAUUGGGCACUGAGGAUCCAAACCUCAAUUUCAAUUCUACAAGCUACUCUGCUAGUCUUUUUGGGGCGUGAAAUUGAAGAUUCCAAUGUGUUUCGCUUGAAAUUUAGAGCUCCAGGGAGAAGCCUUUUCUGUAUGAAAUUGUGGCAACUGGGCGUAAUGGUUUGAUUAUCUUGUCCGUGACAGCCGAGCUUGGCAAUGGGAUUUCCAACGGAGUUCUUCCCAGUUUUAUUUGCAAUCCCUAGAAUGGCUGGUUACUUGGCACACUGGAGAGAAUCCAUGGAUGCCCAAGCAGGUUUCAUGCAGGGCUGUUCAAAAGCACAAGUCAUGGAUCAGUGAAUGAAGAAGAAGCUGAUAGAAUUGUAUAACUUCCUGGGCAACCCAAGGUCUCAUUCCAACUGUUUUCGGGUGUAACUCUUAAUUUCAACAAGAAACUUAGUAGUUUUAGGUAUUUUGAUGCUUGUAAUUUUGCCAAACCUUUGAUUGGUUUUACAAUUGUGAUUGUUGGUUUGUAAUUGAAAUUAGUUCAUAUGCUAUUUUAACAUUUUCACCUUAUAAUUUUU